rnacentral:rRNA from 1 species
UCGGGAAUUUUGGGCAAUGGGCGAAAGCCUGACCCAGCAACGCCGCGUGAAGGAUGAAGUAUUUCGGUAUGUAAACUUCGAAAGAAUGGGAAGAAACAAAUGACGGUACCAUUUAUAAGGUCCGGCUAACUACGUGCAAGCAGCCGCGGUAAUACGUAGGGACCAAGCGUUGUUCGGAUUUACUGGGCGUAAAGGGCGCGUAGGCGGCAAUUCAAGUCAUCUGUGAAAUCCCCGGGCUUAACUCGGAACGGUCAGAUGAUACUGCUUUGCUUGAGUGCGGAAGGGGCAAUCGGAAUUCUUGGUGUAGCGGUGAAAUGCGUAGAUAUCAAGAGGAACACCUGAGGUGAAGACGGGUUGCUGGGCCGACACUGACGCUGACAGCGCGAAAGCCAGGGGAGCAAA